rnacentral:RNase_P_RNA from 1 species
AAGAGUUGGUGCUGCGGUUGCGGAUUAGGCUUGACCUAAUCUGAGGAAAGUCCGGGCUCCUAAAAGGUCAGGCUUGCUGGGUAACGCCCAGUGCGGGUGACCGUGAGGAUAGUGCCACAGAAACAUACCGCCAAUGGAAAGGCGGAAGGCGGAAGGCGGAAUUUAAACUCAUCCUUCAUCCUUCAUCCUUUCACAGGUAAGGGUGCAAAGGUGCGGUAAGAGCGCACCAGCAGUAUCGAGAGGUACUGGCUCGGUAAACCCCGGCUAGGAGCAAGGUCGCAGGGGGCAUGGUUGACCUUUUUCCAGCCCCGCUUUUGGUGUACCGCUAGAGGCAACUGGUAACAGUCGUCCCAGAUAGAUAACCGCCCGUUGAUGUCGGCCGACAUUAGCGAGAACAGAACCCGGCUUACGGCUGACUCUUUCCA